CGGCCGCCGCCGCGGAGGAGGAGGAGAAAGAGGAGGGGACAGCUGUCCGCGCCCGGGCGCCCGCGGUGGCACGAGCCCGCGGCCCGAGUGCGAGGCGGAGGCGAGGAGGCCGCGGGGACGCGAGGCGAGGCCGGCCGGGGCCCCCGCAGCCAUGGAGAACGCUCACACAAAGACCGUGGAGGAGGUGCUGGGCCACUUCGGCGUCAACGAGAGCACGGGGCUGAGCCUGGAGCAGGUCAAGAAGCUCAAGGAGAGAUGGGGCUCCAACGAAUUGCCGGCUGAAGAAGGUAAAUAAUU
rnacentral:lncRNA from 1 species